CGUCGCCUGUUUCCAAAAACAUCUCUUCUUGUUAGUUUUUGAAGUAUGGCCUGCCCGCUGACUUAAGUGUUGAAGGGCCGCGGUAUUUUGACCGUGCAAAGGUAGCAUAAUCAUUAGUUCUUUAAUUGUGAUCUGGAAUGAAUGGCUUGACGAGGCCCGAGCUGUCUUGGAUGUGAAUGUUUUAUUGAAUUUGGUCUUUGAGUUAAAAUUCUUAGAUGUUUUUAUGGGACGAGAAGACCCUAUAGAGUUUAACAUGUUGAUUUAUUUCGGUUUGUUGGUUUGUUUCUGUUUUAUGGUUAAGUGAAUCUUUUGUUUUGUUGGGGCGAUGAGAGGGAUUAUUUAACCCCUCUUGGUUUCGUUAUAUUGAUUUAUAGUUGCUGCAUCCAUUAUCGAUAGUCAGG
rnacentral:rRNA from 1 species